rnacentral:rRNA from 1 species
UACGGAGGGUGCAAGCGUUAUCCGGAUUCACUGGGUUUAAAGGGUGCGUAGGCGGGUUGAUAAGUCAGUGGUGAAAGCCCCGGGCUUAACUUGGAAACUGCCAUUGAUACUGUCAAUCUUGAAUGUCGUAGAGGUAAGCGGAAUGUUGCAUGUAGCGGUGAAAUGCUUAGAUAUGUUACAGAACACCAAUUGCGAAGGCAGCUUACUAUGCGAUAAUUGACGCUGAGGCACGAAAGCGUGGGGAGCAAACAGGAUUAGAUACCCUGGUAGUCCACGCCUUAAACGAUGAUUACUCGAUGUUGGCGAUAUACAGUCAGCGUCUUAGCGAAAGCGUUAAGUAAUCCACCUGGGGAGUACGCUCGCAAGAGUGAA